rnacentral:rRNA from 1 species
CUACGGGAUGCAGCAGUGGGGAAUAUUGGGCAAUGGGCGCAAGCCUGACCCAGCAACGCCGCGUGAGGGAAGAAGGUUUUCGGAUUGUAAACCUCUGUCCUUGGGGACGAAAAAAAUGACGGUACCCAAGGAGGAAGCUCCGGCUAACUACGUGCCAGCAGCCGCGGUAAUACGUAGGGAGCGAGCGUUGGCCGGAAUUACUGGGCGUAAAGGGUGCGUAGGCGGCGUAUUAAGUCAGGUGUGAAAUAUUCGGGCUCAACCCGACGGGUGCAUUUGAAACUGGUAUGCUUGAGUGUGAGAGAGGAAAGUGGAAUUCCUAGUGUAGCGGUGAAAUGCGUAGAUAUUAGGAGGAACACCAGUGGCGAAGGCGACUUUCUGGCUCAUAACUGACGCUGAGGCACGAAAGCGUGGGUAGCAAACAGGAUUAGAUACCCGGGUAGUC